CCUACGGGGGGCAGCAGUGAGGAAUAUUGGUCAAUGGACGAGAGUCUGAACCAGCCAAGUAGCGUGAAGGAUGACUGCCCUAUGGGUUGUAAACUUCUUUUAUAUGGGAAUAAAAUGUUCCACGUGUGGGAUUUUGUAUGUACCAUAUGAAUAAGGAUCGGCUAACUCCGGUCCAGCAGCCGCGGUAAUACGGAGGAUCCGAGCGUUAUCCGGAUUUAUUGGGGUUAAAGGGAGCGUAGGUGGAUUGUUAAGUCAGUUGUGAAAGUUUGCGGCUCAACCGUAACAUUGCAGUUGAAACUGGCAGUCUUGAGUACAGUAGAGGUGGGCGGAAUUCGUGGUGUAGCGGUGAAAUGCUUAGAUAUCACGAAGAACUCCGAUUGCGAAGGCAGUUCACUGGACUGCAACUGACACUGAGGCUCGAAAGUGUGGGUAUCAAACAGGAUUAGAUACCCCGGUAGUC
rnacentral:rRNA from 1 species